rnacentral:tRNA from 1 species
GCUGCGGUAUCCGAGUGGUUAAAGGGAUGGACUUGAAAUCCAUUGGGUUCUGGGCGCACAGGUUCGAAUCCCGUCCGGAGCG